UACGAAGGGUGCAAACGUUGCUCGGAAUCAUUGGGCGUAAAGCGCACGUAGGCGGCACUGUAAGUCGGACGUGAAAUCCCUCGGCUCAACCGAGGAAGUGCAUCCGAAACUACAGCGCUCGAGUAUGGAAGAGGGUCGCGGAAUUCUCGGUGUAGAGGUGAAAUUCGUAGAUAUCGGGAGGAACACCAGUGGCGAAGGCGGCGACCUGGGCCAAUACUGACGCUGAGGUGCGAAAGCGUGGGGAGCAAACAGG
rnacentral:rRNA from 1 species